AUCACAUCUCGGAAAAGAAAAGAUGUGGCCUGCUGGAAUAUGACAGCCAUGAAAAUUCAUGCAGACACUAUGAACUGAAUGGAAAAAGCUGAAUCCCUCCUGAGAUGAAGCAGAUCAGGAAUGAAAAAAGAUGUGCAAAUUGCACGAGCAAGAAUGAAUGUAGCCCCACGAACAUCUCAAAAACUUUCAAGGAAAGUAUCGUUAUCCCAUUUUACAAAUGAGAAAAUCGAGGCACAGAAAGCUGAAAGGACUCGCUUCUGGCCAGUGGCAGGUCCAUUAACAGAACUCAAGUUUCCUAACUCUGGUGCCCACUCCACUGGACCACACUGGGUAAAAAGAGAUUCAACUUCAGACUCCAAGAAAUAAAUAAAUUUGCUGC